ACGGGAGGCAGCAGCUAAGAAUAUUCCGCAAUGGACGAAAGUCUGACGGAGCGACGCCGCGUGGAUGAUGAAGGUCGGAAGAUUGUAAAAUCCUUUUAUGACUGAGGAAUAAGCAGUGUGAGAGAAACGCAUUGCGGUGACUGUAGGUUAUGAAUAAGCAACGGCUAAUUACGUGCCAGCAGCCGCGGUAACACGUAAGUUGCGAGCGUUGUUCGGAAUUAUUGGGCGUAAAGGGCAUGUAGGCGGUUUUGCAAGCUUGAUGUGAAAGGCAGGAGCUUAACUCCUGGACUGCGUUGAGAACUGCAUGACUAGAGUCACUGAGGGGCAAUCAGAAUUCCUGGUGUAGGGGUGAAAUCUGUAGAUAUCAGGAAGAAUACCAAUGGCGAAGGCAGGCUACCAGCAGAUGACUGACGCUGAGGUGCGAAGGUGCGGGGAGCAAACAGGAUUAGAUACCCUGGUA
rnacentral:rRNA from 1 species